rnacentral:rRNA from 1 species
GAUGAACGCUAGCUACAGGCUUAACACAUGCAAGCCGCGGGGCAGCAUGGGGGUUGCUUGCAAUCCCCGAUGGCGACCGGCGCACGGGUGAGUAACGCGUAUCCAACCUGCCCUUCACCACGGGAUAACCCGGCGAAAGUCGGACUAAUACCGUAUGUUGUCCAUUGACGGCAUCCGAUUUGGACGAAAGGUUUGGCGGUGAAGGAUGGGGAUGCGUCCGAUUAGCUGGACGGCGGGGUGACGGCCCACCGUGGCGACGAUCGGUAGGGGUUCUGAGAGGAAGGUCCCCCACACUGGAACUGAGACACGGUCCAGACUCCUACGGGAGGCAGCAGUGAGGAAUAUUGGUCAAUGGGCGUAAGCCUGAACCAGCCAAGUAGCGUGCAGGAUGACGGCCCUAUGGGUUGUAAACUGCUUUUAUGCGGGGAUAAAGUGGCCCACGUGUGGGUUUUUGCAGGUACCGCAUGAAUAAGGACCGGCUAAUUCCGUG